GAUCUUGUUUUAUGAACGGCAUGGCGGUAAACAAAAACUCGAUAGAGAGCAGGAGAGAGUCGUUAAUACUCGAACUAUACAAAGUAGAAGCUGUUAAAUUUGGGAAUUUUAAGCUGAAAAGUGGCAUUGACUCUCCGGUCUAUUUUGAUUUGCGUGUCAUCGUAUCAUAUCCAAACCUUUUAAAUGAAGUGGCAGAAUUGACGUGGGAGGUAGCACAGUCUGCUGGUUGUCUGUAUGAUUCUGUAUGUGGAGUCCCCUACACAGCAUUGCCAAUAGCAACAUGUUUUUCAGUUCACCAUAAUAUACCAAUGUUGAUUCGUAGAAAAGAGGCAAAGGACUAUGGGACAAAGAAAAUGGUGGAAGGUCAUUACAAGGAGGGAGAGAAUUGUCUUAUCAUUGAGGAUGUUGUCACUAGUGGGGGAUCUGUUAUGGAGACAGUGCAGACACUGACGUCUACAUCAGUAAUUGUAACAGAUGCUGUUGUAUUUCAGACACUGCAGUCUACAUCAGUAAAUGAAAUACAUUGCAGUCUAUAUCAGUAAAUGUAACAGAUGCUGUUGUAUUGCUGGAUCGAGAACAAGGUGGCAAGUCUGCUCUAGAGAACAAAGGAGUUAAACUUCACAGUGUUUGUUCACUUUCUAUGGUGCUAGAGGUGUUGGAAUCCAAUGGAAAGUUGGAUAAAAGCAUUAUUGAGAGGACGAAGAAAUUCAUUCAGGAAAACAGAUUUGAUGGGAAAGUUUCAGAUCAAAAUGUUGAUGAUUCUAAGAAGAAAUCCAAAUUAACAGUUUUCAGUCACACAGAGAAGAUGAAGAUGUGUAAGAAUGCGGUACUUUCUUCUCUGUAUGGAAUCAUGGACAAAAAGAAAACCAACUUAGCAAUCUCUGUAGACCUCACUACCUCACAAGAAAUACUCAAGCUACUAGAUGCAGUUGGGCCUUACAUAUGUAUAGCCAAGACCCAUGUUGACAUCAUCUCGGACUUCUCCCAGAGCUUCAUCAAACAACUGACAGAACUAGCCAGAAAACACAGCUUCCUUUUGUUUGAAGACAGAAAAUUUGGAGACAUUGGGAACACAGUCAAACAUCAGUAUGAAGGAGGGCUGUAUCAGAUUUGUUCCUGGGCAGACAUUGUCAACUGUCACCCUGUCCCCGGGGACGGUGUGAUACAGGGUCUCAAGGGGCCUGGCCUCAUUUCCAACAGAGGGUGUUUAAUUGUAGCAGAAAUGAGCUCAAGUGGAAGUCUGGCUAAAGACGAGUACACAAAAGCUGCUGUCAGCAUGGCAGAGAGAAACAAGGACUUUGUUAUUGGAUUCAUCUGUCAGUCCAAGCUUACAAACGACCCUGAUCUUAUCCAUAUGAUGCCAGGUGUGCAGAUGAAUGCAGGAGGAGACAAUCUGGGGCAACAAUAUACCUCUCCGGAAAAGGCUAUCCAAUCUCACGGUGCGGAUAUCAUCAUUGUAGGACGAGGCAUCACCAAGGCUAUGGAUCCUGUCGCUACAGCUCAGCAAUAUCAGAUAGCGGGAUACAAGGCUUACCAAGAACUCUUUUAGCUAUUGCAGCAAUAUUUAUCAUCUGUUAUCAUUAAUCAGACUUGACUUGAUUAUUUUGGUGCUUAGUGCUGUGUUCAAAUGGUAUUGUCUUGUUUAUAGUUCAUUUAUUAACAAAACACCAUUAUACAUUGGAUAGAUAAUUCCAUAUAUCGGGUUUGUGUUCCAAGGUUUUUUGUUAUUAUGUACAGUAGUUAAGUAUCAUAAAAUGAGCAGCUUUAUCAUUGCAGCCAAUUCCACAUGUACAUGUAUUAGCAAAUGAAAUGGAUCUUGAUUGCAACAUUUUCAUGGUAAUUGAUUUUUUGUUCAUUUUUCAAGAAGCCUAAGAAGCUUGAAAUAAGUUGUGGAUAAAAGGUCCCAGCCAAAAGUAAUAUAUUUUGAUCCCAUUUGACUUUUAAUGAUACCUCAGACACAAUUGUCAAUCUACUAUGUAUAUUUGCAUUAUUCAAUAAUUAUAAUAUACAUCUAAACAAAUCAUAAUCUGUGUUCUUGAUCUCUUCAUGGUCUUUUUCAAUCAAAUAAUGAUUUCAUACCAACUGGAAAAUGUUAGAUUAACUUAACAUGUACAUGUAUACACUUGGUAUUAUGAACACCAAAGUAUAUGUAUUCAGAAAUUCUGAGGUUUUUUAAAAGAAGCGACAUAAAUGUAAAUUUACAUAUUUAUUAAAGUACAUGUUUAAUAAAGUACGAUCAUCAGACCAUUGCUCAUGGUUGAUUGAACAAAUGAAAAUAACGUGUUCAAAAA
rnacentral:misc_RNA from 1 species